UGGCCUCACCUAACAGUUAUUGAUACAUUUCUUAGUUAAGUCCGAUCCAUCGUUCACCAGCGAGUGCAAAGCCGUCAUUGGGUCCCUCACCUAACAAUUACUGGGUCCAACCCCAUCUUUACCUCGAGACAUCUAAUACCAAUAGAGUAGUUGUGCCUUUUCGAUGCAACCGAACCACUAUAACUAGUCGAGAAUGAUCAAUGUCGGAAGAGGCACCCGUAUCUCUACAAUGGUGGAAGACCAAUAGACUUAAUAUUUAGUGAGGAG
rnacentral:lncRNA from 1 species